rnacentral:rRNA from 1 species
GGGGAGUGGCGAACGGCUGAGUAACACGUAAGUAACCUGUCCCUAAGUGGGGGAUAACUUGUCGAAAGGCAGGCUAAUACCGCAUGUGCUGGUAAACGUCAGUUUAUCAGCAAAGCUUUUGCGCUUGGGGAGGGGCUUGCGUCUGAUUAACUAGUUGGUAAGGUAAUGGCCUACCAGGGCGAUGAUCAGUAACUGGUCUGAGAGGACAACCAGCCAGACGGGGACUGAGAUACGGCCCUGACUCCUACGGGAGGCAGCAACAAGGAAUUUUGCGCAAUGGGCGAAAGCCUGACGCAGCGACGCCGCGUGGGGGAUGACGGCCUUCGGGUUGUAAACCCCUUUUCUAGAGGAAGAAAUCUGACGGGACUCUAGGAAUAAGUCUUGGCUAACUACGUGCC